AGGUUUGUCCGCCAUCGAAGAUGGCGACAUGCCCAGGUAGCCGAGGUCUUCGAGGCUACGGCGCAGCACUGCUGCGCUGACCGUCGUUCGCAACGCAUCCCGAAGCGAACGGCCAGCGUCCGCGCUGGUGGAUG
rnacentral:ncRNA from 2 species